rnacentral:sRNA from 1 species
GCUGGGUGUGAUGGCGCAUGCCUGUGAUCCCAGCAACUCAGGAGGCUGGGGCAGGAGGAUCGCAAGUUCAAGGCCAGCCUGGGCAACUUAGCAAGACCCUGUCUCAA